UGAGCACUUUAACAGGUCCUGGUCUCUGUGUGGUAGACCAUGAUUUGGUAGCUGGUGCUGAAAUUAAAUCUGUCUCUCAUGAAAAACCCCAGAUUUUCGCUCUGUCUGCUGGGUGCAUUUGAGAGAGAGGACACUU
rnacentral:snoRNA from 8 species